rnacentral:RNase_P_RNA from 1 species
AAACUGGCGAGAAUCGCGCAGAUUUCAUAUCUGUGAGGAAAGUCCGUGCUCGCACAGGCUGCGAUGCCUGUAGUGUUCGUGCCUAGCGAAACCGUAAGCUAGGGCAGCCCAUAUAAUGGGUUGACGGCAGGGAAAAUACCUACGUCCAUUUGGAUAUGGUAUGACUACCUUGAAAGUGCCACAGUGACGGAGCUCCAAUGGAAACAUUGGAGGUGGAACGAGGUAAACCCCACGAGCGAGAAACCCAAAUUUGGUAGGGGAAGUGUCUGGAGGGAAUUGAACCGAAAAGACACCAUAGCCAUUUAGGCUAUGAGAUAGAUGAUUCUCCAUUCAAGUGCAAGAAUACUCUUUUGCGUAUUCGUUUGCAGCACUGAAUGAACAGAACACGGCUUACGAGG